rnacentral:rRNA from 1 species
AACCAGCGCCUCGAGUGGUACCCACGAAUAUUGGGCCUAGAGCGUCCGUAGCCGGGUUAGUAAGUCCGCUGUGAAAUGUUGGGGCUCAACCCUAACGCUUGCUUUGGAUACUGCUAGUCUUGGGAACGGGGGAGGACCGGAGUACUUCCGGGGUAGGGGUAAAAUCGUUUUCAGUUUCCUGUUUUUGGGUUCUGGAACCAUUAUAUUCCGUUGAUCCUGAAAGGACUACCAGUGGCGUAAACUUUUUAGGAAAAAGUUUAAUCAAAAACUGCCUGAAAAGUUUCCAUAUAAGGCGCCGGUCCAAAACGUGUCCGACGGUGAGGGACGAAAGCUGGGGGAGCGAACGGGAUUAGAUACCCCGGUAGUCCCAGCUGUAAAUAAUGCAGACUGUGGUGUUGCAUAUGAGUAAUCAUAUGCAGUGCUGUAGCGUAAACACACGACAUGCCGGUAUAUGGCGAUGGAGUGUGGCGAAAGUGUUAAGUCUGCCGCCUGGGGAGUACGGUCGCAAGACUUAAACUUAAAGGAAUUGGCGGGGGAGCACCACAAGCCGUGGAUGCUACGGUUUAAUUGGAUACAACGCCGGAAAUAUCACCAAGGGCGACGGCAGUAUGAAGGCCAGACUAAAGAUCUUGCCUAACGAGCCGAGAGGUAUUGCAUGGCCAUCGUCAGCUCGUGGUGUGAGAGCCUUUUGACCGCUGUCCUUAUUGGGGCAAAACCCUCGGGAAAUGCCCUGAGGCAAACAUGUCAAUCGGCUGCAUACACUGUCCUGUUAAGUCAGGUAACGAGCGAGACCCAUGCCCUUAGUUACUAACUUCAUCUCCGGAUGAGGUGUACUCUAAGGGGACUGCCCGUGCUAAAUGGGAGGAAGGAGUGGGCGACGGUAGGUCAGUAUGGUCCGAAACCCCUGGGGUACACGCGGCAUACAGUGGAUGGAACAAUGGGCUGCAACUUCGAAAGGAGGAGCGAAUCCCCUAAAUCCAUCCGUAGUUCGGAUUGAGGGUUGCAACACAUUAUUUGACCACGUUUUUUAUAAUGAGGUCAAAAAAUGGGCAAAUCACCCUCAUGAAGAUGGAAUGGCUAGUAAUCGCGCGUCACUAUCGCGCGGUGAAUGUGUCCCCGCUCCU